GUUAUGCAAACUGGAGUCAAUUGCCAGUCGGAGGAGUACUGAAUUGAUGAUUCCGAAUGAAAUGUUAGUUUUUUCUUUUGAAAAACUGCCGAAAAUGUUUAUUUUCAAGAUUUUUCUAAUUUUUAGCAUUUUAAAAUAAUAAAAAAUAUAAAUGUCUGUAUUUUCAGAUGUCACUCCUGCCGUUAAACACCUUAUCAGAGGCGGGCUGCCUAUUCAUCGAAGCCCGUCUUCUCGGUGGUCCAGGCAACAUCAUAUCACAGAUUGGGCUCACAGUUGAUGCUCCAAACACUUCUAUAGCGGUUUUCUGUAAGUUUUUUCUUUCUUUUUCCAUCAAAAUCUUCUUGAAACUGGAAACUAACUUUCUCCCAUCCACGAAUGGGGUCAAUGGAAAUGAGAAAUCGAAUAAAAGAGAAACAAUACUAGUUUCUUAUGUCUUUUCAUGCCUUUUCUGCGCAAGAAGAAGAAGCCAUGAGGUGUCGGGUUUCACACGAAAAAGAUAGGUCGACGAGCUUUUUUUGUUGGUUUCUUUUUUGGGAUAAAGCAGAAAUCGAAACUUCUAUGCAGAGAGAAAUAACAGGAAAAAAGGAACUCUUUCAAGAAAUUUCAUGCUCUCAAAAACGUAAAGGUUUUAAACUAGAAAUAUACAGUUUUAAAUAAUACAAGCUCCAAGAAAAAUGUUUUCCGCUUUUUUUUUGUUGCUUUUGUAGACUAAAACGGCCCAAAUUACUGAAUUUCAUAACGAGAACUUCUUAAAAAUUUAUAAAAAACAUAUCUAUGGUGGUUCAAAAUUUCGAAAAAAAACAACAUUUUUCUGAAAUUUCCAAUUUUGUCAAGAUUUCCAUGUAACAGUGGUCAAAAAUUAAUUUUUGUUCAAUUAUUUCUCUCUUUUGCAUUUUCAGUUUAUUGUAACUAAUGGUUAACUAUAAAAUUCCAAAAGCCGAGCAAAGCAAACUCGAAUUAAAUUAAAACAAAAUAAUUUCCUUUUCACCGCAAAAAUAAGUAGUCAAAAUGAGUGAUUUAAGCCAGUAAUUUCCUUUUAUAAAAAUUUUGGGCAGUUAGAAAAAUAUUUUUAAGAAAUUUACUCUUUAUGAACUCCGGUAAUUUUGGCUCAAUUCGAGUCUAUUUGAGCAAAAAAAAUCGAGAGACUGUUCUGGGAUUACUGUAGUUUGUAGCAAAAUGUUCAAUAAUUUUAAAUUUCAUUGGAAUCAGAACAAUUUCAUAUUCCUAGGACCCCUUUGUUAUUUCUGUUCUCCAUACUGACAUCAUAUUUAUCAGCUGUCAAAGGUCCAAUGGUGUAAUGGUGUCAGUUUCAACACGGGUCACUUAGUAGUCGACUCCGCCAUUUCUGCUCCUCUUGCUCUCUCGUUCCGCGUCCCAAAGUUGUGUUUUUCCGUUCCCUUUCUUUUCAAACUGCGUCUUGCAUCUUGUCCCGGCCAUCUGUUUAGUGUCAAUUCGGAUUUCGAAAUGAAAUGAGCCGAAGCGGUCCUUCUCGCUGCUCCAAAUUGAAAUAAAAGUGCGUUGUGCUUUGAAUGUUUCUGAAUCUUCUCUCUCACACUCGUCUACUCCAAUCAAAUGAGGAACCGUCAUGCUGUUUUCACAUGAUCUAGGAAAGCUUGUGGGGUAGAAGCUAAAUCAGAUGACGUCAGCUUUGUGCAACAUUUAUUGAAAAGACGCUUACCUACUCCCUUCCUUCCCCACGCAGAGCACAAGAGAAUAAUAAUGUGUGCAGCUCUCGUUUUUUUUUGUGUUGCUUCUCGCCAAAAAAUGCAGGAGGACUGAAGUGGAUUUGAAUUUUUGAUUUCGGAUUUUGGAUUUUCAUAGGAACUUCUGACUAGUAGACUACAAUAUAUCUGAAAAUUUUAAGCUACAGUAACCAGCUUGAAUACUUGUAGAAUGUAGAGAUUUAUAGAUUCAAAGAAUUUAAAAUUAUCUACAAUGUUCCCCGUUCUCCACUUUUCAUGAUAGACUCAUCGAUCAUAACCCACGAGUUGAAUGGACGAACCAUCUGGUUUACACGGCGCCACCUGCUCCCCUCUUCCUGUUUCACGAGAAGCUUGAGCACUCUCCCCAUCAUGACCUCUACGUGCAUUUCAUCGAGCUCUUCGUUGCAGUGUCAUCCACCCUACUCGUUCUCUCAGUUCGCUGUUUUUUUUCCAGUGAUAGUAUUGUGGCGGACCUGAUGUGUUUCGACAGAGUAAUUCGAGAGGCGAUGGAGAAACCGCCGAGUUGAGUGACGGCUCCCUGGAGAGAGUAGCGAAAUGCACCCAGAAUCUAAAAAGGAUUGGGAAGAGAAAGGAAGAAAGAAACGAUGAAUAGAUGAGCAAAAGAGAAACACUAUUGUCUCUCUCUCUCUCUGUGGUAUUUUCUCUCUAAACACCCCCAACAACACCAACGAGGUCCUUUUCUCAUCUUCUUCCGCUAUUCAUUGACAACAACUAUGUGCCACAUUUGACACUACUUGAAAAAAAGGGAAAGGGUGCCUUUUUGUCAAAUGUGCUAAAAGCAAUAACAUCCACAUAUUUUCCGUUCUACCUGACUCGAAAAGUCAGUGUUCUCACCCUCCGAUUUUCAAUUGUACGCCUCAUUUCGUCGAAGGUCAACUGGAUUGCGCGAAAAACAAGAGUCUGGACAUUUGUUACUUGAAAUGAGACGGGAAACAGGAAACAUGGGAAUUAAACAGAAAAAGUACCAUUUGAAAUGAAUUAAAGCUGGAGUAGUGUGAAUAGGGAUUUUGCUCCAAAAAUCAAAAGCGUCUUAAAUUCAUAAAUACCACAAGAGAAAAACGAAAAAAAAUCAAACUUCUAAAAACGAGAUUUUUGAAUUGCGACUAAACUCCCUAUUUGAAUGGUUCAAAAAUGCAUGUCGCUUCUCAUUUUGGAAGAAAUUUAAAAAAGAUAUUUCAGUCACAUAAAUAAAUAAAAAAUCGCAUUAUUAGAAGUUGGAUUUUUCGUUCUUGCUCAGUUUUUUUUGUUUUUCUUUUGUAGGUUUUAUGAGUUUGAAACAAUUUUGGAUUUUUUGAAGCAAAAUCCCUAUUUACAAAAAUUCUGAAACUCAAAAUAGUUGUCUCCAAAAAAAAAUCCCCGUCCUCCGACUAUAUCCUAGGAUCGUAUCCGGGAUUCUUGAAAACGGUGUUCUUGUUGGCCGAUUGUUUUCUCCGUAAACAACAACACUGAUAACAACAUACGAACAUGUGUCCGAGAGAGAGAAAAAGUGUUGGCAACAAAACAACAAUUGGUCAGUAGCUGUGUCUCUAGGUGUUUACAUAGAGUAUAUACCGUGUAUAGUUAUGCAUAUUAUGUUCUCUCCGUAAAACCGAUCCAUCCUCACCUCGCCUCGUCGCAACCCUUAUUAGUAAUACUUCUGCGCCAUUCACAGUUUCCGCGCGACACUGUGAUGCCGCUCUCAAUUUCGUACUUACUGCGUCUCUUCGUCUUUCUGAUCGUCGUCUAUGAUCGCUUUUCCACUGUUCUCUGUGUCUCACUUACACGCCCCCAUCUGCUUGAUUUUCACGGUCUGCGUCUAUCAUUCAAUCACAGUGUCUCUCUCGUGGGACGGGCGGGCGCCCUUGGGAGCUCAUCGAGAGAAGAAUCAUCUUCUUCACCUAUUCACCAAGUUUCAAAUUGAGAUUCUAAUUUUCAGCGUCUGAAAAUUCUGAAACUUCUGAAUUAGCUUUUACAGAGAAAUGGACGCCGCUGAAAUUGAAGUGGCGUUCAACAACUCUGAUAUUGUAUUUUCCCUAUUUUCACCUUUUUCACCAACUAGAGCUACAUUGAAAGGUAAGGAAAUCUGGCUAAAGUUCGAAAAUGUAAUGAGAUAUCUAGAUAUUUCCUGUAGAUUUUAUAAUAUUUCAUAGAGCCCUAACUCCUUUAUAAGCUAUUAGUGAUGCAAUCGGCUUCUUCCCAUCAUCAAGUAAGUGUUAGUAUGUACGAGAAAUGAGCAAACAAGCUGAGAAAAGUUUACAAGUGUAUGAGAGAGAAACAAACGGAUUUCCGAAGGAGGUUUUUUUUUUGCAAACCGCACGUUCAAGUGUCGAAGAUCUUCAAAGCUUUUUUUUGUUUGAGGGCGUAAUGAAAAAGUAAUGGUCAAAAUGGGAAACUCAAGUAGGGAGAUUUUCUGGAAGUCUAGUUUACAAAAGAUUCUGAUUCCAGAUUCAAACAUCAGAAACCGUAUUAUUAUUAUUAUUACAAUAUUUCAAUUUUUAAAACAAGUCCAAUGUUCGAAGCUCAUGGUCAGUACAAAAUCUCGCAUCACUCGAACUGUGACCGAUUACCGUAAUCCCCUUUAACCUACUAGAUCGUGCCAAUUUCAAUUUUUUCUGCAAAAAAUGAAAAUGCAACACACACUAUUAAAAACUGUUUCUCACUGAGGCAUUCCGAUUGAUAAAAUACACAUAUACGCAAUGUGGUUUUAUCAUCAGACGAGCAAAUAAGUUUUUGUGUGUGUGUGUGUGUGCUCUCACCGAAUGGGAGUACUAUUGAAAACUGUUGCUCCUUCUCCGAUUUCAAUAAGUUACGUGAUUUUGCGUGCGUUCGCACCUCAUCGAAUCCGUUAAUACGAUCAACUGUUAUCGCGGAAAUUCAUAUGGGAAAUUGCGCGUUUCUCGAUUAGGCACGUAAGAAAGAAGUAAUGAGAAAUGGCAGGAAUGGUUUUUGAUACCAAUAAGGGUUUGGAGGGUUACUGUAGAUUCAUAAUAUACAUCAGAUAAGAUUCACCAACUACAGUAACCUCGGCUUUUUAGGCCUAUUAUCGUUUGAUCUUUGAAAAUUGCGGUAAAUUUACACGCGACUUUUCUACUGGAAUCUCACAGUAUCGUAAUUCCGCGAAAUUUUUACAUGUCAGUUUAAAGGCACACAGUGUUUUCCGAGUGGGUCUCGCCACGGUAUUCCGAUUUAGAAUAUAAAGUUUAUGAAAUUUCAAAUACUGAAGUUCAAAGAAAAAUUCAGGGUUUAUUACAAAACAUGUAGCAUCUUGUGUCACAUUUCCGCGAACGGUAGAUAAUAAGGAAACUACAGUUACCAUGGCUGUUAUGAAAAUUCAAAUGUCUUUAUUGACAACAGACUUAAAUAAAAUUUGAAUAAACUAAAAAUGACGUCAUUGAUUUCCAAUUGAACUUUAAAGAUAUAAUAAUUUAUUCACAAACUACAAACUGUUUAGAUCUUUGAUAUGAAACAAUCUAUAAGACAACCUAUCCAUCUGAAAUAAAUAUUUUCAAAUUUCAGCUCGUACAAGUGGGGUUCUGCUCGUCGCCGGUGUAGGAUCAUUCUUCGCUUAUCGAGUUGCAUCGAAUCUUCUAGGAAAUCGAUUUGUAUGGGAAUGUAUGGAUGCGCGGCGAGUAGAUCAACUACCAACUGCAGAUCGUCGACUUCUCUAUUCAUUUGUAAGUUUUUUAUUCGAAAAUCUUCCUAUUAAUAGAGAUUGGAUAACCGAAUUAGUUUUGGGUGCGACACUGUCAUUUCUGAUUAGAAUAGUUGUUGAAUGAUUUUUGCAAAAAAAUGUUUCUCAAAGAACUUUCAAAUAUGGGUUUUGAACAUUUUUGGACUAUUAGAGAGUUAAAAAUUCAAAUUCCAGCAAAAUUUGAAACUAAAAAAAAAGAUUGCUGAUAGAUAUUAUUUUUGAAUUCUGAAAGGCUGAAAAAAUGCAAAAAAAUAUAAAAUAUUUUGAACGAAUUUUUGAAUUAUUAAAAAAAUUAAAAGGUCUGAAAUUUUUUUUUUCAAUUUCCGCGAAAAUAUCACUUUGUUUCAAAAGUUCUGAUUAUUGAUUUUGAUUUUUUCCCUUAAAAAGCUUGAAUGCAAAAUCUUUUAUUUUAACCCAAUUUUGAAGUUUCCGCAAAUUUCUAAAAAAAAACAAAAAAAAACCAAUAUAUUUUUUGGUUAGAAAACGCAAAAAAAUCUAGACACUAGGUCAUCAAUUUGCGCAGAAAUUCAAAAACAAUUCAGACCUAUCAAUUUUCUUCUUGAAAAAUGAAACAAAUCAACAAAAAAAUUUCAAAAUUUUUAAAAACUGUUAUAUUCGGUGAUUAUGGUCUAUUUUAUAUCUUUUAAAACAAAAUCUUUAAAUAUUUGUAUCCAAUUUGUUGCAACUAUUAAUAUAGAAGCCGGGAGCUCAUACACAUUUAAAAUCUAUUUAUCACUCAACUUUCCGGUGAUCUUCUCAUAAUUGAUGUGACACCUCUGUAAAUCUUUCCGGCCACCCGUCUUCUCCAGAAAAUAUUACACUAUACUUAACAACACAACCAACCAACAGAGUAUAAUUGAAUUGAAUCUCGUCAAAACUUUUGUGUUCAGGCCGCCGCGGAAGAGGAAGAUGCGGAAGAUGACGAAGACGCCGAGGUUGAUGCAGAACACGGUGGAAUACGGAGACGACGAACAGACAGUGAAGGAUCAAGAAUAUCUGUUGGACAGGUCAGUCAUGAGCAGCAGCACGAUUUCCGAGCGAAGAUCUCGUCGAAAAAAUGUUUAAUAGAAAAUCGAAAAAAAAAACAUCAAAUUGUGUUUUUGUUGAUAAGAAAACAUAAUUCACGAAAAAGAAAUGAAAAAAAUCCAAAACUUGAAGCUAUUUCUUAAAAAUCAGAUAUUUUUCGAAAUAUCGGGAAUCUAAAAAUCUUGAAAAAAAAACGAGAAUUUUCGAUUUUGCAAUUUUUUUCAGAAUUAGUCGAAAAAUCAGGACACGAACAUUUUUCAUCCUUCAAUAUUCCGGAAAAUCGAAAAUUUAAAAAAAAAUCAGUAAAAAAAAAUAUAGUAGCCUUUUCGGAAUUUUUUUUUGAAAUAUCGGAAAAUUUUUAAGAUACAAAAAUUUUUGAUUCUUUAUUCGAAAAAUCGUCACCAUUAUAUCUGAUCAAAGCGAUGUAAUAAAAAACGCAUAAACUUUAUCAUAAAAUGCGAUGUAAAUCGUAAAACGAUGAAAAGCGCGCUCGUUUCAAACAACAAUGACAUCGUAAAUCUUUUGGCCCAUAAACACACUAUACACCGAUGUUUCUAAAACAUACAAUUGUUUCAGGCUUCCCUCGGACGAUUAAAUCGAAUACGAAAGUCCACGAGGACCCCACGUGGAUUACUUGGAAGUCUUCAGGAAACGCCACGAAGACGGGCUGGAAUUGUUAGUCGACAGUCUUCUAGACAUUCGGUGGCUUCUGGUGAGAUUUAUGCUUGAAUAGAGAUGAAAAUUUAUAGAAAAAAACAGGAACCACCUUUUUUUUAACUGAUAAUAAAUCAUAAUAUUUUCAAAAAGAAUACUUGAAAUUUUCAGUAAUUUUGGUAACUAAAGGCAAGUUUUGCGAUUUUCGCAUAAAAAAUACGGUAUUUGGUCUCGACACGAAAAAUUUCUGGUUUAGAACAAAUGUGCGCCUUUAAAAAGUUAAAAUACUGUAAGUUCAAACUUUCGUUGAUGAGGAAUUUUUAUCGAUUUUUAAGAUUUAGAUUGUUGUUAAAAAUGUAUUAAUUAAUAGAAAAGAAGAAAAAUUAAAUUAAAAACACAAAAGGUUUCACAAAUCGUGAGAAAAACUUUAAAAAAAUCCAUGAAAAUUCCACAGCAACAAAAUUUUGACCUUAUUGUACUCCUUAAAGGCGCACACAUGUUUGUUUUUAUCGUAAAUGUCGUGUCGAGACCAGGUACCGUAUACUUUGAAGCGAAGUUUCGCAUCUGAGUGUGAAAAGAUGCGUUUAUUUAUCAAAAUUGCAUAAAAUUUAAAUAAAGACAAUUAUCAAAUUUCUGAAAUUCUUUUAGAAACCUAAAAAUGUUUUUUUUCUCUUUUUUUUUUAGAAAAUUACUUGUUUUCGCUCUCUUUCUCAUAAACUAAUGGGGUUAUUCAAGUAAUGUAGCAAAAUGUAUUUUAAUACAUUUGUGACGUCACAAAGGUAUUUAAAUACAUGUUUUUAUGUAUUUUAAUACAGUUGUGAUGUAAUUUUUCUACACUUUUUAAUUUUCCAACACUACUUGAAUAACCCCAUAACAGAAUAUGAUAAAUAUAGAUUUUUUUAAUUUUAGAAAACCAGUUAUUUAGGUUUUUAUCUGUAUCGAGUAUUCAAAUUAUUCGAAAUAUUAAUUCUAAAGUUAUAUUCUCUACAAUAUUUUUUCGAAUAAUUUGAAAUUUAAUUCCCUCUUAAAUUUCUUAAAUUAAAUUUCAGGUCACUCGUUAGCUUCAAUUCCAUUUUCCUCGAACUCCUCUGUCAAAUCAGCAUCAUUUCGAAUAGUUUGGGAAGGAUCUCAACCAUCUUGGGAUGAUUUUGACACUCCAAGCACUUCUGCAGGAGUUCAGAGAGGAACUCCCGGAGCUCCACAACCAAGUGUGCUCAGUCGAUUGGGACACGUGGCUUCCACUUCGAGUUUGCGACGAUUCGAAGAUGGGCAAUCUGUUGGUGAUUUAUGCAGUGUAUUCAAUGAUGUACGGGUUUUCAAAAAACGAAUCAAAUUUGUGUGUUUUAUUUCAGGUGAUGAGUGUCAGGUCACUGGCAGAAGGAAGUGACGAUCCGUUGUUGGAUGAUGAAUUUAGAUAUGACGUUAGUUGAUAAUUGAACUGACAAAACAUUUUAAUUUUCUGGUUUUUAGGAAGAAGAUUCUGAUGGGAUAUGGAAGAAAUGUACCGACGACGCUAAAUAUAUGUAUCAAAGUAUUGCGAUUGAAGCCAGUGAAGCAGGCUCUGAAGGUGGUGGAUCGCCGAUUAAACGACAGUUACUUGAACUGUAAGUUUUAGUUAUUUUCUUGGAAAAUUGAGGUAGAUCAAGAAUUUACUAUAAAUAUAUGAAAUGUCUUCCACGAGAAAGUCCUGAUUGCAAUGUUUCGUUUUCCCUAUAAUUUUCGGAAUAAAAUAUUCGUUAACCUCUUAAAACGGAAUAAACAAAAAAAAAAUUUUCCAUUUUUCGGUUUUCUGAAAAAAAAAUGGAAAAAUGGUCGACCACUUAAUUUUUAAUUGCGAAUGAAUAUUUUUGCAGCGGAAUCGACAAUGACGACGAUCGAACCGAAACCCUCUUAUCACCUCCAGAUUCCGAAGGGGCCAUGUCACGAAGUCAGCAUUCAAAAGGACAACGUUCUUCUAUGUAUGAUUCUGCAAUUGGGGCUGAAAUUUCGAGCAGUGAAGAGGGAUCGACGUGUCCUAAAAGGUUUGAUCUCUUAAAUUUGGCUAAAAUGAAGAAAAACAUUUUUACGGAGGCUUUCACAAUAUUCCGACCGUUGAAUAAGAAUUGACACAUGAUUUUUUAUUUAUUUUGUUGCAAAAUAUAGUAAUUUUUCAGUUUCUCAAACUUUUUUGGAAGUUUUCUUAGUCUAUCAAAAAAGUGUUCCUUCGAAUUAAAUGGUUUAAAUACUUUUGAAUAUUUAACACACUAGGGAUUUACAAAAAAGUGGCAAUUACUGAGUUUUUGCCACUUUGUGAAAACUAUAGCACUGUCGCAUGUUCGAAUCCCUAGAGGUUUGAAUAAUAAUUUUUGGAACAUAAGCAGAACAUUUUUCUUGCAAAAACUGAGGUUUUUGCAAUUUUCAAAAAUUCUUAUAAGUUUAAAAUUAAAAAACAAUGUGGUGCCAUCGGCACCAAAUUUAAUUUUAAAAAAUUUAUAAAACUAAUUUUUGUACCCCAAAAAAUGAUGCUCUUGGUGUUAUUAUGAUAAAAACCACGUCAUAUACUAGAUUAGAACUUUUUUCCUGUUUUGAACAAGGCGAAUGAAUAGAAAAGUAGAUCCCCAUCCCGAAUUGGAUUAUGAUUAUGCUGAUUCAUUCUCUUCUUUUUUUGCAGAAAAAAAAGUAAUAACUGCGUCAUGUUUUCCGUUCCAGAAAAUAACAGGAAGAUGACAUUUUUGCAGAAAGAGCUCAAAAGUUGGAAUGAAGCACCGAAAGUUUUUUUUGGAAAUCCCACUAUUGUCUAUUUCAGUGAAUCAGGAGAAUUCGUCACUUGAAAAAUAAUAAUUAUUAUAACAUGAAAAAUCUUAAAAAUCACGCAUAUAAAGGUUUCAGAAUAAAAUUUUUAUAAUCUGAAAAUGUGAAAAUGACAAAUUUUUCAAGUUUCAAACUGUGCACUAUUAGAAACAUCCGAAAAUUUCAAAGCUGAUCAUUAAAAUUGACAUUUUUUCAGAUUAUACGUUCUCCAGGAAUCCGAUAACAUGUCAAUUGUAGCUCCGUCGUGUGCUUCACUGGAAUGGUGUGAUGAUAUUGAUCGUAACGGACCGAGUCGUAUUGGAUUCGAUGAAGAAGGAUCAUCACCACAAAGACUUCGACGAGCAAACCUUGAUUGGGAUCUUGAAUCAGAAGUUGCCGUUCAACGAGCCCUGUCAAUUGCUUCUUCAUCUGUAACGCGGGAAAUUGAGCCAAAGUUUGCUCCGAAAAUGUCGAGAGAUUUGAUGGUGAUGGCUUGUGAAAUUUUUCAGCCAUAUUCACCACCAUUUAGGGUGAGAACUUUCAGAAAAACUUCUUAAGUAUGGGGUUAUUCAUGUGAUGUCUAAAAAUGUAAAGUAAUGUUUUAUUGAAUUAAAACAAAUUUUUUUUGACACAAUUAAAGACAAUGGCCAAAAAUGCAAAAAAAUGAAUACUUUUUUAAAUAGUUUUUUACACACAAAAAUAGCCCUCUUAAAAAUUACGGAUUUGAUUUUUUUUAAAAACCAAUAUCUAUUUUGUAAGUCCAUUUUACCUCGAAAAGGUUUUUUUGCUCGUCUGGUUACUUUCUCCAACUUUGUGCAAAAUGGAAUUCUAAUUAAUUUUAAAUGGUGAAAAUGUGAAUGUGCUUUAAUCGAUUAAAAAAAACAUUCACAAUACAUCAUCAAAAUUGUUGAGAAUUUGAAAAUCCUUCAAGUUUUUUCAAAAAAAAAAAAAAUUACACCAUUUCAAAGUUAUUACAGGACCUCCAAACCAUCUAUCAUAAGCGUCGUCUGAAACGAGUCGCCGUUCCGAGUGUCACCGAAUCAAAUGAAUCAUGUGUUUCUCUAUUCAUGCGAUCGGCUCUUUAUCACAAAUGUUCACUUCUUCGCGACGCCACGUGGUCGAUUAUUGAAAAGG
rnacentral:sRNA from 1 species